AGGCCGCUCCGCCUUCCCCUCGGCGCCUAGAUUUACAUCCGGGUCCUUAGGCUUUACGCUCCUCGCGCCGGCUGCUGUUUCUCCGGGCUGACUCUGCUGGUUGUUUUCGCUGUUCCAGCGUCGGAAGAGCCGGUGGGUCGGCAGGUUUGAACUUCUUGUCCUGGAAGCUGUGCAUCACCAUAAUGAGGCUUGUAAUUCUUGAUAACUAUGACUUGGCUAGUGAAUGGGCAGCCAAAUACAUCUGUAAUCGCAUCAUUCAAUUCAGACCUGGACAGGACAGAUAUUUUACACUGGGUUUGCCAACAGGGAGUACACCUUUAGGAUGUUAUAAAAAACUAAUAGAAUAUCAUAAGAAUGGAGACCUUUCUUUUAAAUAUGUGAAGACCUUUAACAUGGAUGAAUAUGUAGGACUUCCCAGAAAUCAUCCCGAAAGCUACCAUUCUUAUAUGUGGAAUAACUUUUUUAAGCAUAUUGAUAUAGAUCCUAAUAAUGCUCAUAUCCUUGAUGGGAAUGCUACAGACUUACAAGCAGAAUGUGAUGCAUUUGAAAAGAAAAUAAAAGAAGCUGGAGGAAUUGAUCUUUUUGUUGGAGGAAUUGGUCCAGAUGGUCAUAUUGCUUUCAAUGAGCCAGGAUCCAGUUUAGUAUCAAGGACAAGAGUAAAGACUCUAGCAAUGGACACCAUUUUGGCAAAUGCUAAAUAUUUUGAUGGAGAUUUAUCAAAAGUGCCAACUAUGGCUCUAACAGUUGGUGUGGGGACAGUGAUGGAUGCUAGAGAAGUAAUGAUCCUCAUAACAGGUGCACACAAGGCAUUUGCUCUCUACAAAGCAAUAGAAGAAGGAGUCAAUCACAUGUGGACUGUUUCAGCCUUCCAGCAACAUCCCCGAACUAUUUUUGUAUGUGAUGAAGAUGCUACUUUAGAAUUAAGAGUUAAAACUGUGAAAUACUUUAAAGGUGAAUUAACAGGCUUAGUACGGAUGUUAAAGUCACUUAGAAAUUAUUUUCCAUUGGAGCUUUAUAUAUUUCUGAAGAGAUUCAGGACAUCAGCCUCUGUCAGGAUGCCUCCUUCAAUAUGGAGAAAAAUGGAUUUGCAGUAUUGUUCUGGGCUAUAUAUAUAGACCUCAUCUUACAGUAAGAUAUUUUGAUAUUAGGCCUUACUCCAAUAGCUCCAAUAGCUUGAUAGAGGCUGAAUGAAUUCAGAUUGAACCAAACUAUAAAAUCUAUUAUAUUUAACUUUUCUUCUUCAAGCAACAUCAGAAAGUCUAUGCAUUUUUAUCAAUACUCAUUAGAAUUUACUUCUGUUUAUGAGUUAAGUUUAAUGCAUGUGCACAAUAAACUUGUGGAUCCACUAUACAGUAUGAAAGAAGCAAAUUGAAGGAGACUGGAUCAAAAUUCUGCUUGAAUGAACAGAACACUUUUAUACAUAGAUGAAUUUUCAGCUAUGCAAUAUGAUAAAACUUGGGGAAUCUUUGAAUAUUGUCAUUUUUGAAGUCUAAUAUCUAUAUGUUAAACAUUCCAUAUUUACAACGUGUCCAUUUUAUACUAGGGUUUAGACGUAAUUGGCUCUCACAAUUGAUCAGCUAGUUGUUACAGAAGCCACAGUCACUCUAUAACAUAGCACAGAAAUGCAAUGUCUGCCUGUUUACAAAUUUAAGUCAUUUUAAAGGUGACAAUUCUGUACAUAAAGUACCAUGUAUAUGACUCCAGUGGCAUUGUUAGAUUUUAACUUUUUAAUCACAGGAAGACACUCCAAGCCUUUCAGGUAUCAAACCACUAUCAUUGCAAGCCUUUACUUCCGGAAUGCUAUCUUUAUAAUAUUCUCUCUGCACAAGCUUUCUGCACGUGGUUGCCUUAGUCAUCUUCCUGCAGUAGCAUCUGGACAUCAAAAGUCCUGCUAUAUAUUGUUGGUACAGAAAAUUUGAAGAGACUGCAGUGCCUAAAAGUACAGUUUACGUCCUUUUGGAAAGUAUGUAUAAGUGCAUGUUUUUUGUGCACCACCUUCUGUAGCACUUUUUUAAACAGAUGUGCUCUUAUUUUUAGUUAACGACUUGGGUUCACGCACUUAAUUUAAGUAUUUUAGCAAUUAGGAGCUUUAUACCUAGCAACACACUUAAGGAAAUUAUUUUUUUUGAAGAAAAUUUUCUGAUUAUCAUUAAACUUCAUAAAUGGUUAGCUUUAUUCCUUACAUAUAUAUAAUGUCUAAAAGGAUCAUAUGAUGAAGUAUAAUAUAAAGUUACUGUAAACUAUUUUAGAUUGCCAUAACAACUUGCAUUAUUAAAUUGCAAAUAAAAGUAUAUUGUUUUCUAUCUUUAACUCAAAUAAAGCUUAUAAUAAACAAA